ensembl:lncRNA
CUCACGGACGGUGACAGCGAAACGGAUAACAGUCUUCAGUACCUGCUGGACUUUGAAGCUGUGGAUUCUGGGACUGUUGGAAAAGCUCCAACAAAAUGAGGAAGAGGAGGGGGAGAAACACAAUUAGGUUGAAUUACAAUUGGAUGGAAGGCGAGGACAAGGAGAAGGAAGCUUAGGAUGAGGAGGAAGAGAAGCAGCAGGAGCAUCUUUAGGGCUCCCUAUGAUGAGAGGCAGCGGUGAGAGGGGAGACCUCGGCUCAUCCAGCUGGAGAGCCUGACCAGGACGAGUCGAACAUUAACUCAGCUCUUCCAGGGCACCCUGCAGACUCGGCUGUUGGCAACAACGAGGGAUGACGUGAACGCCAAACAGGAGUCCAUCACAGGUCAACUGCAGCUCCUUGUCUCAGAGUGGGAGGGGUUUGAAGCACAAAGGGAGGAACUUGUCGUUUGGUUGGCUGAUAUGGAUGUCUGCCUGAGUGAGGUUGACCAGCUGACAGGAAACACCAGUGAAAAACUGAAACAACUGCAGGUGUGGGCUUGUUUUGAUAUGACAUAUAUUUGAUAUGAUACAUACGUCAGAGACAUUAUCCUAAACUGGACUAACAAAGGACCAUGAGUACAACAUGAAACGUACAUUACAUAGCGUAAGGCUGAAGUUCAUUGAUCAUUUUAAUCAUAAACUUGUUG